AAUGGAUAAAGGCAUACCUAUGGAAACAUAGGGACGCAAAGCCAUGGCCUAAAGCAUCAGACGAUGCUACGGUUGACAGGUUGCUGGA
rnacentral:ncRNA from 1 species